rnacentral:rRNA from 1 species
GACGAACGCUGGCGGCGUGCUUAACACAUGCAAGUCGAACGAAGUGGCGAACGGGUGAGUAACGCGUAAUCAACCUGCCCUUCAGAGGGUGACAACAGGUGGAAACGACUGCUAAUACCGCAUACUGAAGGAGGGGAUUGCGUCUGAUUGGCUAGUUGGAGGGGUAACGGCCCACAAAGGCGAUGAUCAGUAGCCGGGCUGAGAGGAUGAACGGCCAAAUUGGGACUGAGACACGGCCCAAACUCCUACGGGGGGCAGCAGUGGGGAAUCUUCCGAAAUGGACGAAAGUCUGACGGAGCAACGCCGGGUGAGUGAUGACGGCCUUCGGGUUGUAAAGCUCUGUUAAUCGGGACGCGGUACCGGAAUAGAAAGCCACGGCUAACUACGUGCCAGCAGCCGCGGUAAUAC